rnacentral:rRNA from 1 species
CGGAGGAAAAGAAACCAACAGGGAUUGCCUUAGUAGCGGCGAGUGAAGCGGCAAAAGCUCAAAUUUGAAAUCUGGCACCUUCGGUGUCCGAGUUGUAAUUUGAAGAUUGUAACCUUGGGGUUGGCUCUUGUCUAUGUUUCUUGGAACAGGACGUCACAGAGGGUGAGAAUCCCGUGCGAUGAGAUGCCCAAUCCUAUGUAAGGUGCUUUCGAAGAGUCGAGUUGUUUGGGAAUGCAGCUCUAAGUGGGUGGUAAAUUCCAUCUAAAGCUAAAUAUUGGCGAGAGACCGAUAGCGAACAAGUACAGUGAUGGAAAGAUGAAAAGAACUUUGAAAAGAGAGUGAAAAAGUACGUGAAAUUGUUGAAAGGGAAGGGUUUGAGAUCAGACUCGAUAUUUUGUGAGCCUUGCCUUCGUGGCGGGGUGACCCGCAGCUUAUCGGGCCAGCAUCGGUUUGGGCGGUAGGAUAAUGGCGUAGGAAUGUGACUUUGCUUCGGUGAAGUGUUAUAGCCUGCGUUGAUGCUGCCUGCCUAGACCGA